rnacentral:rRNA from 1 species
CCCGACUGCUAUUUGGGUGAGGAUAAGCCAUGCGAGUUGAAUGGGAUACCUAAAUUUCCCAUGGCAAACUGCUCAGUAACACAUGAUCAACUUACCCUAUAGAGAAAAAUAACCUCGGGAAACUGAGGAUAAUGUUUCAUAGUUGAAUAGGCUUGGAAAAGUUUUUCAAUAAAAGGGAUAAAAAAAAUGGUUUUUAUCCGCUAUAGGAUAGGAUCGUGGUCGAUUAUGGUCGUUGGUGAGGUAAUGGCUCACCAAGCCGAUAAUCGAUAGGGGCCGUGAGAGCGGGAGCCCCGAGAUGGGUACUGAGACAGCGACCCAGGCCUUACGAGGCGCAGCAGGCGCGGAACCUCCGCAAUACACGAAAGUGUGACGGGGUUACCCAAAGUGUUCAAUUUUGAACUGUGGUAGGUGAGUAAUGUUCCCUACUAGAAAGGAGAGGGCAAGGCUGGUGCCAGCCGCCGCGGUAAAACCAGCUCUUCAAGUGGUCGGGAUAAUUAUUGGGCUUAAAGUGUCCGUAGCCGGUUUAGUAAGUUCCUGGUAAAAUCGGGUAGCUUAACUAUCUGCAUGCUAGGAAUACUGCUAUACUAGAGGGCGGGAGAGGUCUGAGGUACUACAGGGGUAGGGGUGAAAUCUUAUAAUCCUUGUAGGACCACCAGUGGCGAAGGCGUCAGACUGGAACGCGCCUGACGGUGAGGGACGAAAGCCAGGGGAGCGAACCGGAUUAGAUACGUCGGUGCUAGAAUAAUAAAAUAACUAACACCAUGCUAAAAACCCGGGUAGUCCUGGCCGUAAACGAUGCAUACUAGGUGAUGGUACGGCCAUGAGCCGUAUCAGUGCCGUAGGGAAACCGUUAAGUGUGCCGCCUGGGAAGUACGGUCGCAAGGCUAAAACUUAAAGGAAUUGGCGGGGGAGCACCACAAGGGGUGAAGCCUGCGGUUC